UUCUAAAACCGCAAACAUUAAAUUUCCUCCAUCCCUGUCUCCCUCCAUGAAAUCCUGCGUGCAAAAGUGCAGAAGUUUCCAAAACAAAACUAAACCCAUCCGUUUCGCAAAGCAUACGGAGCUUUAAGCACAAACUACGAAAUUAACGCUCUAAACACACGAGACAUCCAACGUCGCUCAUGCCAACGUCGCCAACAGUGGGUUUCUCCGGACCAUCGGUCCCAAACGCGUGAGAGAGAGCCAGCGAAACUCGAUGUCAUCGCGUGCCCGUCCACCAAGCGAAAGCGCAACAGCCUCCGCAGCUUCGGGGCUUGUCCCGGUAAGUUGAGUCGGAGGUGCUUUCUCAGGUAUAAAAAACACGCGGGAUCCAGCGAAACGCUUGAUUGACCAGAUGUCGGAGAAAAGCACAGCGGGUCGAGAUCUGCAAGGACGAGAAUCAGUCGUAUUGUCUUAAUUUUUACCACCGGGGAGAUCGUCUCGUGGGAGUGUCCAAAAUAUCCACGUGUCGUUUAGCCCUUGGGAGUUUAGUUCUUGAGCUAUGGCAGAUUUCCAAUGGUGACCUUGGGAAGACGUCAUGGCUUGCGUCUUGGUCGUUGGCUCCAUGAAUAUCGCGGCAAGGGUUAUAAGAGCGUGCUUCGGUCUGGAGGGUCGCGAUGGAGUAUUCCGCGUCCGAAGGGAACUUGGAUCAUAAUUUUCGGAUGGGUCUCGCGGUGGGGGUACGCCUUUGUUGGUGCGAGAAGACUUGCGAACGGGUACAGGAGAGGUUCCAUGCUGGGGCUCAACGGGAGAGUCAGCAACAUGGUCCGGCCUGGGAGCUUGUUUGUGGUGGCCUAAAUGAUGCAUGAGGGCCAAGCUGGUGAGAGAUCGGACGUCAUGCCGCGGGGACGGUCUAGCCGGGAGGAGUGGUGGUACCUCGGGUAAGGAUGAUUGUUUAAGUCGGGACUGAGCACGGGCGGAAUCUGGAGCCGGGGGAAGCAAAAUAUGAAAAUUUCUCAACCCCGGGCUGGGGCCAUCAGUAGCAUCUGGUUCCGGAGCAGCAGACGAGAGGUGAUCAUCAAGAGGAUUCGUGACAGGUAGUGAAGGAGGACGUUGAUGCUGGUCCGACGGCACCUGCGGAGCAUCAGAAAGAGGGUGUUGGGGCUCACGCGUGGAUACACGCGCAGGUGGAGUGGCAGGGAGCUGCGACCCGCUGGGAAGAAAGAAAUGUGGGUCUUCCUGGAGUCUGGCAUCGGGUGAGCGGCUGGCCUGAACAGGUUGGCUGGGAGCAGCAGGCUCCUUCCGAAAGAUGACGUCCCUGGAGACGACGGUGGCGCCGAUGCGGAGGAGUUGAACCUUGUAUCCCUUGCUGACCGGGCUAUAGCCAAGGAAUAUGCAAGCCUCCGUUUUUCCAUCAAGCUUGACACGGAGCGGGUCAGGGAUUUUUGCAUAACAUCGACUUCCAAAUACACGAAUGUGAGUGAGAUCGGGCUUCUUAUUGUGCCACAUCUCGAAUGGAGUGGUGUGAGAAGGAAUAGCCUUAGUGGGAAGUCGAUUUUGGAUAUACGUAGUACAGGUGAAUGCUUCUCCCCAAUACGAUUUAGAGAGUUGAGCUUCAUGAAGCAUGCACCUUGUGGUGUCAAAGAGAGUUCGAUUCUUGCGUUCAACCACAUCAUUUUGGUCUGGUGUAUACAUUGUGGUGAGUUGACGUUGAAUGCCAUGUGCUUCCAAGUAUUGAGUGAAUUCUAAAGAUAAGUAUUCUCCUCCUUGAUCGGAGAUGAGAGUUCUGAUUUUAUAGCCGGUUUGAUUUUCA